GCCUGGGUGGCUCAGUCGGUUGAGCAUCCGACUUCAGCUCAGGUCAUGAUCUCACAGUUCGUGAGUUCGAGCCCCGCGUCAGGCU
rnacentral:tRNA from 1 species